CACGUAGGGUGCGAGCGUUGUCCGGAAUUAUUGGGCGUAAAGAGCUCGUAGGCGGUUUGUCGCGUCGGCCGUGAAAUCUCCACGCUUAACGUGGAGCGUGCGGUCGAUACGGGCAGACUUGAGUUCGGUAGGGGAGACUGGAAUUCCUGGUGUAGCGGUGAAAUGCGCAGAUAUCAGGAGGAACACCGGUGGCGAAGGCGGGUCUCUGGGCCGAUACUGACGCUGAGGAGCGAAAGCCGUGGGGAGCGAACAGG
rnacentral:rRNA from 1 species